AGCAGCCGCGGUAAUUCCAGCUCCAAUAGCGUAUAUUAAAGUUGUUGCAGUUAAAAAGCUCGUAGUUGAAUUUCGGAAUCUGUCCGUCGGUCGGGCUUCAUUGUCCGUACUGGCGUGGUGGGUUCUUACCUUCUGAAUAACCAGCAUGCCAUUCACUUGGUGCGCUGGGGAAGCAGGACUAUUACCUUGAAAAAAUUAGAGUGCUCAAAGCAGGCCAGUGCCUGAAUACAUUAGCAUGGAAUAAUAAAAUAGGACGGCAUGGUUCUAUUUUGUUGGUUUCUAGGAUCACCGUAAUGAUUAAUAGGGAUAGUUGGGGGCAUUAGUAUUCAAUUGUCAGAGGUGAAAUUCUUGGAUUUAUUGAAGACUAACUUCUGCGAAAGCAUUUGCCGAGGAUGUUUUCAUUAAUCAAGAACGAAAGUUAGGGGAUCGGAAGACGAUCAGAUACCGUCGUAGUCUUAACCAUAAACUAUGCCGACUAGGGAUCGGACGAUGUUAAUUUUUAAUGUACUCGUUC
rnacentral:rRNA from 1 species